UUACCGAGUUUACAACUCCCAAACCCCUGUGAACAUACCAAUUGUUGCCUCGGCGGAUCAGCCCGCUCCCGGUAAAACGGGACGGCCCGCCAGAGGACCCCUAAACUCUGUUUCUAUAUGUAACUUCUGAGUAAAACCAUAAAUAAAUCAAAACUUUCAACAACGGAUCUCUUGGUUCUGGCAUCGAUGAAGAACGCAGCAAAAUGCGAUAAGUAAUGUGAAUUGCAGAAUUCAGUGAAUCAUCGAAUCUUUGAACGCACAUUGCGCCCGCCAGUAUUCUGGCGGGCAUGCCUGUUCGAGCGUCAUUUCAACCCUCAAGCCCCCGGGUUUGGUGUUGGGGAUCGGCGAGCCCUUGCGGCAAGCCGGCCCCGAAAUCUAGUGGCGGUCUCGCUGCAGCUUCCAUUGCGUAGUAGUAAAACCCUCGCAACUGGUACGCGGCGCGGCCAAGCCGUUAAACCCCCAACUUCUGAAUGUUGACCUCGGAUCAGGUAGGAAUACCCGCUGAACUUAAGCAUA
rnacentral:rRNA from 1 species